rnacentral:rRNA from 1 species
UACAGGGGGUGCAAACGUUGCUCGGAAUUACUGGGCGUAAAGCGCGUGUAGGCGGCCAUCUAAGUCGGGCGUGAAAUCCCACGGCUCAACCGUGGAAGUGCACUCGAAACUGGAUGGCUAGAGUCCUGGAGAGGAAGGUGGAAUGCUUGGUGUAGAGGUGAAAUUCGUAGAUAUCAAGCGGAACACCGGUGGCGAAGGCGGCCUUCUGGACAGUGACUGACGCUGAGACGCGAAAGCGUGGGGAGCAAACAGG